rnacentral:snRNA from 1 species
AUUGCUUCUCAGCCUUUUGGCUAAGAUCAAGUGUAGUAUCGAGCUCUGCCAUUUGCAGACUGUUAGAAAUGAACCUUUCGAGUUUUAAGACUGGUAAUAUGAGAACAAUAGCUUUUUCUUUAAGUUUUUAUUUAAAUUCCAGGGACGCCUGGGUGGCUCAGAGGUUGAGCAUCUGCCUUUGGCUCAGGGCGUGAUCCCGGGGUCUGGGAUGGAGUCCCACAUAGAGCUUCCUGUGAGGAGCCUGCUUCU